GGGGCUCAGCGGGAGAGCAUCUGCGUUGCAUGUUAGAAGGUCCCAGGUUCAACUCCGGGGGUCUCCA
rnacentral:tRNA from 1 species